GAGGACCGAACCCGCUAGCGUUGAAAAGCUAUGGGAUGACUUGUGGAUAGGGGUGAAAGGCCAAUCAAACAUCGUGAUAGCUGGUUCUCUCCGAAAUAUAUUUAGGUAUAGCGUCAUGUAGUAACACUGGGGGGUAGAGCACUGAAUGGGCUAGGGCAUACACCAAUGUACCAAACCCUAUCAAACUCCGAAUACCUAGUGUGUAAUCAUGGCAGUCAGGCGGCGAGUGAUAAAAUCCGUCGUCGAGAGGGGAACAACCCAGACUAACAGCUAAGGUCCCUAAAUCUCAUUUAAGUGGAAAACGAUGUGGAGUUACUUAAACAACCAGGAGGUUGGCUUAGAAGCAGCCAUCCUUUAAAGAAAGCGUAAUAGCUCACUGGUCUAGUGAUUCUGCGCGGAAAAUAUAACGGGGCUAAAAUGAGUACCGAAGCUUUAGACUUAGUUUUACUAAGUGGUAGGAGAGCGUUGCAUUCAGCGUCGAAGGUGUACCGGUAAGGAGCGCUGGAGCGAAUGCAAGUGAGCAUGCAGGCAUGAGUAGCGAUAAUUGGGGUGAGAAUCCCCAACGCCGUAAACCCAAGGUUUCCUACGCGAUGCUCGUCAUCGUAGGGUUAGCCGGGUCCUAAGCAAAGUCCGAAAGGGGUAUGCGAUGGAAAAUUGGUUAAUAUUCCAAUGCCAACUAUAAUGUGCGAUGGAAGGACGCUUAGAGUUAAGCAAGCUAGCGGAUGGUAGUGCUAGUCGAAAGGUGUAGGUUAAGAUCCAGGCAAAUCCGGAUCUUUUUAAGCCGAGACCCCACAGGCGUUUGAAGUUCUUCGGAAUGGAUAGCGAAUUGCUGAUACUGUCGAGCCAAGAAAAGUUUCUAAGUUUAGUUAUAGUUGCCCGUACCGUAAACCGACACAGGUGGGUGGGAUGAGUAUUCUAAGGCGCGUGGAAGAACUCUCUUCAAGGAACUCUGCAAAAUAGCACCGUAUCUUCGGUAUAAGGUGUGCCUAACUUUGUGAAGGAUUUACUCCGUAAGCAUUGAAGGUUACAACAAAGAGUCCCUCCCGACUGUUUACCAAAAACACAGCACUCUGCUAACUCGUAAGAGGAUGUAUAGGGUGUGACGCCUGCCCGGUGCUCGAAGGUUAAUUGAUGACGUUAGCUCUGCGAAGCGUUUGAUCGAAGCCCGAGUAAACGGCGGCCGUAACUAUAACGGUCCUAAGGUAGCGAAAUUCCUUGUCGAUUAAAUAUCGACCUGCAUGAAUGGCGUAACGAGAUGGGAGCUGUCUCGAAGAGGGAUCCAGUGAAAUUGUAGUGGAGGUGAAAAUUCCUCCUACCCGCGGCAAGACGGAAAGACCCCGUGGACCUUUACUACAGCUUGACACUGCUAUUGGGAUAAAAAUGUGCAGGAUAGGUGGGAGGCUUUGAUCCAUAGACGCCAGUUUAUGGUGAGCCGUUGUUGAGAUACCACUCUUUUUUAUUCUGAUAGCUAACUAGCUUGAGUUAUCCUCAAGUAGGACAAUGUCUGGUGGGUAGUUUGACUGGGGCGGUCGCCUCCCAAAAUGUAACGGAGGCUUACAAAGGUUGGCUCAGAACGGUUGGAAAUCGUUCGCAGAGUAUAAAGGCAAAAGCCAGCUUAACUGCGAGACAUACACGUCAAGCAGGGACGAAAGUCGGUCUUAGUGAUCCGGUGGUUCUGUAUGGAAGGGCCAUCGCUCAAAGGAUAAAAGGUACCCCGGGGAUAACAGGCUGAUCUCCCCCAAGAGCUCACAUCGACGGGGAGGUUUGGCACCUCGAUGUCGGCUCAUCGCAUCCUGGGGC
rnacentral:rRNA from 1 species